rnacentral:rRNA from 1 species
AUUGAACGCUGGCGGCAGGCCUAACACAUGCAAGUCGAGCGGAGCGGCGGACGGGUGAGUAAUGCCUAGGAAUCUGCCUGUUCGUGGGGGAUAACGUCCGGAAACGGGCACUAAUACCGCAUACUAUCAGAUGAGCCUAGGUCGGAUUAGCUAGUUGGUUGGGUAAAGGCCUACCAAGGCGACGAUCAGUAACUGGUCUGAGAGGAUGAUGAGUCACAUAGGAACUGAGACACGGUCCAGACUCCGACGGGAGGCAGCAGUGGGGAAUAUGGGACAAUGGUCGAAAGCCUGAACCAGCCAGGCCGCGUGUGUGAAGAAGGUCUUCGGAUUGUAAAGCACUUUAAGUUGAGAGGCGUUACCGAAAGAAUAAUCACAGGCUAACGUCGUGCCAGCAGCCGCGGUAAUUC